AUUUGGUUUUGCGGUUUUGGGUUUGCACCUCUGCGAUCUCUGCGUCUGCCUCUGCGAGCGACUGCUUCUGCUUCCAUCUCUGCAAUCUGCAUCUCUGUUUAUCCUCUGCGAUCACCAGGCUGCUUCUGCUUCCAUCUCUGCAAUCUGCAUCUCUGCGUUUGCCUCUGCGAGCGACUGCCUGCUUGCAUCUCUGGAAGCGGUGGAAGUGAUCGGCGACUGCCUGACUGCAAUCUGCAUCUCCGCCUCUGCCUUGCCUUGCGACCUCACUGAGUCAUUGCUUACCAGCUAAUAUGUGCAGGGUAAAUGGAAGAACACUAUAAUAGAUGGAACACUAUUUUGGAUCCUUUAAAUGGGGAGCCAUUACUUAAAGUUUGCAAGUUGAUGAAAUAAGAAUUAAGUGUAUGUGUACCGUAACGAAUGUUUUUGGAUUGCUGGAUUGCUAUUGCAGCCAUUUGUAGAGAGCUUGUCCAAGUGCCCAUGGUCUUCACAAUCCGUUCAAAGCACCAGAGAUGUUUGUGUUUAUUACCAUUCUAUUUCUAUGUCCUCAUUUAUCUUUAGGCAUCAUUUGUUCUCUAGAUUACUCGCAUAGAUUCAUGUAAUGGUAGAGGACUGCAAGAUUUUCAUUAACUCCUCUUUUGAAGAACUCGACAGUGAUAUUUUGCAACAAUAUAAAUUAGGGAAACUCUUCACCCAAACAUUUUUCGUUGUUCCAUCUGCAACAAUGAA
rnacentral:sRNA from 1 species